AAGACAGAUAAUCGAAAACAAUACACCGGUUAUCUAACUGAACCGGGUUUAGUAAUUUUAAUCUCACUGAAUUGAAUCCUUCUUCAAUUUGAAAGACGUACAGUUUGGGUUUGGGGGUUCCAAUCUUCAGAAUCGCUCAAAUUUUGAUCUCACCCGAAGCUAGAGUCUCCCUCAUCAACCCUAAUACCACUUUAUGUAAACCAAUGGAUUCAGAAGACUGUGAGGAGUUUACUGAUGUCUUCUUCUGGCUCAAGUUCCGUGUCAUCUCUAAUGCCAGGCAGAUUUGCAAAGAGGAAGUUGGAUGAAUCUGUUUUCUUGGGGAAUCGGCUUCAGAUCUCAUAAUGCUCCUGAAUUCGAGAGUCUCAGUGACACAAAGGACAAGUUAGAGACAAGGAGGAAAGAUGUGCAUUCAAGAUCCAACCGUAGGAUUUUCUUGUUUCUAACUUAUUGCAACAACAAUAAAGUUUGCGUCUCCUCCGUAGAUUAUUAUCAACUUAAGAAGCUCUCAACUUAGAGUCACUAUUUCGUCCAACUUAUAGAGGAUCUAAAAAAAGUCAAUUGGCUGAGUUCAUUACCGUUGCUGCGUUGUUGAAUUGUAUUUAUCUUACUUGAAGUUUUUUUUUUUUUUUUUUUUACUUGUCAAACUUUAAUCAUAACAUGUUGCAAAGCUAAUCUCGGGUUUUUUUUUAUUAGCUAAGUUUAUUUUUGGGUUUAGAAAAAGCAUAAUAGAUGGGAUAACAAUAUGAACUUGACAACUCUAUCUACAUGUUUCAUCUUGUGAACAGCCAAGUCACAAAAUCGGACAAUUUCUCCUCACAAAGGAGUUUGGAAAGAGAGAUGGAGUACCAGUUCCAUAGAAGAGACGCUCCCAUUACUCUAGUUUCAUCUGAUCAGGAGUAUUUUGGGUCAGCUUCAAUGAAUCAAACGGUCAGGGAGAAACUGGACAAGAACCGGAGUUGAAGAAAACCGGAGUAGUCGAUAACCGAAGAAGAAUCUAACUCAUCUUGGCUCUAUGCUAAGCUAAUCCCAAAAAAGCAUGUUUAACUUAAUAUUAAUAGCGUGCUCUUUGUGUGAUAUUUUGUGAAUAUUGAAAUUUCUGGAAUAAAAAACUUCGGUUUUGCUUA